rnacentral:rRNA from 1 species
UCGGGAAUUUUGGGCAAUGGGCGAAAGCCUGACCCAGCAACGCCGCGUGAGGGAUGAAGUAUUUCGGUAUGUAAACCUCGAAAGAAUGGGAAGAAUAAAUGACGGUACCAUUUAUAAGCUCCGGCUAACUACGUGCCAGCAGCCGCGGUAAUACGUAGGGAGCAAGCGUUGUUCGGAUUUACUGGGCGUAAAGGGCGCGUAGGCGGCGCGGUAAGUCACUUGUGAAAUCUCUGAGCUUAACUCAGAACGGCCAAGUGAUACUGCUGUGCUAGAGUGUGGAAGAGACAACCGGAAUUCUUGCUGUAGCGGGGAAAUGCGUAGAUAUCAAGAGGAACACCUGAGGCGAAGGCGGGUUGCUGGGCCGACACUGACGCUGAUGCGCUAAAGCCAGGGGAGCAAACG